CCAUCAAAACCCUCACGACCAAAGUAUCCCGGCGUCUCAUCUCCAAUUCCAAAUUCCUCUUGCUCCGAAACAGAGAAAGGGAUGGCUUGGCGCAGCGGAUCGCUUUCGAGAUCGUUGAUGUCUGCUGCAAGAGCUUCUUCACUCCGGUCUACACCGUCUCUCCCACGCCUCCGUCCUCCAUCACUUGCCGCCCCUCGCCUUCAAUCUCGUCGAUUUUCCUUGUCUACCAGGACUAUGGGAGAGUUAGGAUGCACGCAAUCGCUACUGCCGCUGCACAGUGUGGUCGCUGCAGCCCGCCUCACAUCGCAUCUCGCUGUCAAUGCGCGUGCAUGCUGUGAGCUGUCUCAGGGGAGGAGUGGAAAAGAUGGGUGAUUGGCGAGGCUGUCAAGCAUCGGAAGACAGGACAAUAAGGCCAUAUCGUAGGUACUUGAAUGGGCUGGGCUGUCUGAUCAGCACAGUGAGUGCUAAUAUGUUUUUGGGCAGUAAUAGAUUGUUGAAUCGUGUGGAAGCUUCUCCUUUAUAGUUGGUGAAAUUAGUGACUUUUGCAUCUUUUUUUUUUAUGGGGGGAAAAACUUGGAAUUUCCCAUUUUUCUGUACGGUGUGGGAACCAUUUAGAAUUUAUAGGUGAACACUUUUGAGUCUGAUGUGUCUUCAAAGCAUU